CCGCUCAGGCCGCUCCUUAUAUAGAUGCACUAAUCUUUCGUCUUCUCCUAAAGAUUAUCGUGGGGAGGGGCUUGCAAAUGAGCCUAUAGGCCAACUUUACAACGAAACUGUAUACCUCUCGU